AGAAAAUUCCUUCUGGGGACUUAGAAGCUGCUGCUGUGUGGAAACAUGCUGUGUGAACAACAGGCUGUGACCAACACAUUAACUUGACAUUUUCCUGCUAUUGGGGCAAUAACCAGAAGUGAACAUAGAAGGAGAAUAUGAAGGAGCAAUAACCAUGCUAAGAUAUUCCUGGAGAACAUCCUUGAUGACAUUCAGAUACAAGGACAAAUAUGCUCAAAUUGAAGCAGCUUCUGCAGGAACAUAGCCAUGUGCUGAUCAACAUAAUUUAAUAAAGUGAUUUGAAAUGUGG